rnacentral:rRNA from 1 species
UAUUGGACAAUGGGAGCAACCCUGACCCAGCCAUGCCGCGUGAGUGAUGAAGGCCUUCGGGUUGUAAAGCUCUUUUGGCGGGGACGAUGAUGACGGUACCCGCAGAAUAAGCCCCGGCUAACUUCGUGCCAGCAGCCGCGGUAAGACGAAGGGGGCUAGCGUUGUUCGGAAUUACUGGGCGUAAAGCGCGUGUAGGCGGUUUGCCAAGUUGGGUGUGAAAGCCUUGGGCUUAACCCAAGAAAUGCACUCAGUACUGGCAGACUAGAGGACCGGAGAGGAUAGUGGAAUUCCCAGUGUAGUGGUGAAAUACGUAGAGAUUGGGAAGAACACCAGUGGCGAAGGCGGCUAUCUGGACGGUUUCGACGCUAAGACGCGAA